rnacentral:rRNA from 1 species
AUUGAACGCUGGCGGCAGGCCUAACACAUGCAAGUCGAACGGUAACAGGAAGCAGCUUGCUGCUUUGCUGACGAGUGGCGGACGGGUGAGUAAUGUCUGGGAAACUGCCCGAUGGAGGGGGAUAACUACUGGAAACGGUAGCUAAUACCGCAUAACGUCGCAAGACCAAAGAGGGGGACCUUAGGGCCUCUUGCCAUCGGAUGUGCCCAGAUGGGAUUAGCUAGUAGGUGGGGUAACGGCUCACCUAGGCGACGAUCCCUAGCUGGUCUGAGAGGAUGACCAGCCACACUGGAACUGAGACACGGUCCAGACUCCUACGGGAGGCAGCAGUGGGGAAUAUUGCACAAUGGGCGCAAGCCUGAUGCAGCCAUGCCGCGUGUAUGAAGAAGGCCUUCGGGUUGUAAAGUACUUUCAGCGGGGGGGAAGGGAGUAAAGUUAAUACCUUUGCUCAUUGACGUUACCCGCAGAAGAAGCACCGGCUAACUCCGUG